UUUCCGUAGGUGAACCUGCGGAAGGAUCAUUGCAGAGUUCAUGCCCUCACGGGUAGAUCUCCCACCCUUGAAUAUUUAUACCUUAGUUGCUUUGGCAGGCCGUGGAAACACUAUGGGCUCCGGCUUAUGCGUGCCUGCCAGAGGAAACAAACUCUGUUUUUAGUGAUGUCUGAGUACUAUAUAAUAGUUAAAACUUUCAACAACGGAUCUCUUGGUUCUG
rnacentral:misc_RNA from 1 species